rnacentral:misc_RNA from 1 species
UUCUAGUGAGACAUCAGAAUGUACUGAGACCAUGGUUCCUGCAGAUGAAUGUCAAUGUGUGUGUGUUUUGUGUGGUGAGUUUUUUGAAGACUUCUACAAUGAAGAAAGUGAUGAAUGGAUGUUCAAAGAUGCUGUUUACAUGAGUAUUCCAAGUGAAAGUGAUUGUCAGGGUCCGAUAGUCCACAAGAACUGUAUUUCAGAAAGUUCUUGUCAAGAGUUGGGGUUUGCCUAGGAUAUAAAACUGGUGUUGGAUGCUUGAUUUUUGUCUCUUAAUCGAAGACAACCAGGUUCAUUUUGAAUUACUUGUAAUGAUUAUACAUCUUCUUGCUUAGUAAGCCUCUUCCAUGCUUUUGUUUGAAACG